UCUUGUGCAUACAGGUACAGGUGGAUGCCAGUGCAUGUCAUAUCUCCUGGAGCUGGAGUCACAAGCAUUUGUGAUCCACCUGAUAUGAGUGCUGAGAAAAAAAACCCUGGCCAUCUGAGAGAACAAUCUGGGGUACUGAGUCAUUUGCCGGAGUCUGAGAACCUAGGAAUCCUAGAAUUCUUGCUUGCCAGAUAUCCUGUCCACUAGGGAAAUGGCCGGUGAGGAGAAGGAAACUGCCGUGUCCAGCCAUACUUGGUUUCAAAGUUCUCAUCCUGUCCAGCAAUGAACCACCGUGUUAGAAAGUAGAGUCCAAAUUAAGCAGUUGUGCAGCAGUGAACAACUUUAGAAUUCUCCCCAUCUGUGGUCGUCCUCAGGAAAGGAGAUUACUCCUUGGCUCGGAGAUUAGGACCAUUGUCACUGAGCUCGGCACAUCACAAGCUUCCUAAUGCAGUGUGUCUCUUAAAUGGUGCAUAUUGUAGCAAUGAGAAAUCUGAGGUUUGGUAAAAGGAAUCAACUUAAUAUCUGGACAAGAUAUUCAAUAACUUAGAUGAAACUUUCAGCAAAGAUAUAGUAACCUUUUUUUUAAAAAGAGGGGAAGAGUGUUGGGAAUGAAAAGUUCAAUAAACCAAAUAAUAAAGUCAA